UACGGAGGGUGCAAGCGUUGUCCGGAUUCAUUGGGUUUAAAGGGUGCGCAGGCGGGCCAUUAAGUCAGGGGUGAAAGACGGUUGCUCAACAAUCGCAGUGCCUUUGAUACUGGAGGUCUUGGGUGACCUUAAGGUAGGCGGAAUGGGUGGUGUAGCGGUGAAAUGCAUAGAUACCACCCAGAACUCCGAUUGCGAAGGCAGCCUACUGGAGGUUCACCGACGCUCAGGCACGAAAGCGUGGGGAUCAAACAGG
rnacentral:rRNA from 1 species